UAGGGAAUCUUCCACAAUGGACGCAAGUCUGAUGGAGCAACGCUUCGUGAGUGAAGAAGGUUUUCGGACCGUAAAGCUCUGUUGUUGGUGAAGAAGGAUAGAGGUAGUAACUGGCCUUUAUUUGACGGUAAUCAACCAGAAAGUCACGGCUAACUACGUGCCAGCAGCCGCGGUAAUACGUAGGUGGCAAGCGUUGUCCGGAUUUAUUGGGCGUAAAGCGAGCGCAGGCGGAAGAAUAAGUCUGAUGUGAAAGCCCUCGGCUUAACCGAGGAAUUGCAUCGGAAACUGUUUUCUUGAGUGCAGAAGAGGAGAGUAGAACUCCAUGUGUAGCGGUGGAAUGCGUAGAUAUAUGGAAGAAUACCAGUGGCGAAGGCGGCUCUCUGGUCUGCAACUGACGCUGAGGCUCGAAAGCAUGGGUAGCGAACAGGAUUAGAUACCCUGGUAGUCCAUGCCGUAAACGAUGAGUGCUAAGUGUUGGGAGGCUUCCGCCUCUCAGUGCUGCAGCUAACGCAUUAAGCACUCCGCCUGGGGGAGUACGACCGCAAGGUUGAA
rnacentral:rRNA from 1 species